UCGGGAAUUUUGUGCAAUGGGCGAAAGCCUGACACAGCAACGCCGCGUGAAGGAUGAAGUCCCUCGGGAUGUAAACUUCGUAAGAAUAGGAAGAAUAAAUGACGGUACUAUUUGUAAGGUCCGGCUAACUACGUGCCAGCAGCCGCGGUAAUACGUAGGGACCAAGCGUUGUUCGGAUUUACUGGGCGUAAAGGGCGCGUAGGCGGCAAUUCAUGUCAUCUGUGAAAUCUCCGGGCUUAACUCGGAACGGUCAGAUGAUACUGCUUUGCUAGAGUGCAGAAGGGGCAAUCGGAAUUCUUGGUGUAGCGGUGAAAUGCGUAGAUAUCAAGAGGAACACCUGAGGUGAAGACGGGUUGCUGGGCUGACACUGACGCUGAGGCGCGAAAGCCAGGGGAGCAAACGGGAUUAGAUACCCCUGUAGUCCCUGAGCGGGCUGGCAAGGCGCAU
rnacentral:rRNA from 1 species